rnacentral:rRNA from 1 species
UUGACCUCAAAUCAGGUAGGACUACCCGCUGAACUUAAGCAUAUCAAUAAGCGGAGGAAAAGAAACCAACAGGGAUUGCCUCAGUAACGGCGAGUGAAGCGGCAAAAGCUCAAAUUUGAAAUCUGGUUGUGCCUGGCGCAGCCCGAGUUGUAAUUUGAAGAAGGCGACUCUGGAGGCGGCCCUUGCCUAUGUUCCUUGGAACAGGACGUCACAGAGGGUGAGAAUCCCGUGCGGCGAGGUGGCCCCGGCUCCGUGUAGAGAGCCUUCGAAGAGUCGAGUUGUUUGGGAAUGCAGCUCUAAGUGGGUGGUAAAUUCCAUCUAAAGCUAAAUAUUGGCGAGAGACCGAUAGCGAACAAGUACAGUGAUGGAAAGAUGAAAAGAACUUUGAAAAGAGAGUGAAAAAGUACGUGAAAUUGUUGAAAGGGAAGGGUAUUAGAUCAGACUUGGCGGUUGGUGGGGAUCCCUCUGCCCUUGUGGCGGGAGGCUACUCCCUGCGCGCUGGGCCAGCAUCGAUUCGGACGGCGGGAGAAUGGCGUGGAGAAUGUGGCAGCGGCCCCUUGCGGGGCUGGUGUGUUUAUAGCUCCAGGCAGAUGCCGCCUGUGUGGAUCGAGGAGUGCGUCCUUAGGGACUACGAUGCUGGCGUAAUGAUCUAACACCGCCCGUCUUGAAACACGGACC